UAGAGUAAUGGCUCACAAAUUAUUAUGUUCCUUACAAGUAUUUGGAUUAUUUAUAGUGAAAUUGGUGAUAUUUGAUACAAGAAAUGUGGUUUUAUGUGUCGAGAUACGCAUUGUAGUGUUCUGAUCAUAUUAUAAAUGAAUAUUCAGCAAAAUGCAAAGUGUGUUAUUGUUUCAAGUUUCGGCAGGAGUCCACAGCAUUGAUCUUUAAAAAAACAACAUUCACCGUUUACCUAUUUUCGGCAGCAUUUAAAGUGAAUAAUCACUUGUUUUUCGUGAUUUGUGAAAAUUCCUAGUGGGCUAGAAUAAAUUCUGCAACCAUAGGAUCUUUCAUAAAAAACACUCUUUUAGUGCUCUGGUUCUCUUAAUAAUGAAACCUGCCAAACUAUUGGCUGACAGCAAAUCUGCCGAAACAUGUUGAACACUCCACAUUUUGUUUGAUAUUUUGAAAAAUAUACAAGGAAAUGAUGUGAAACUUCGUAUAUGAAUAACAAAUGAGCAUAUUUCUAUUUAGAAAAAUAUGUGUUGAGACAAUUUCCAACUCGUUUUUGCGGCGCAGUGCUCGUUUAAGGCGUUCAUUCAUCCACUGGCGCACACUUCAAAGCGGAAAGAAAGCUAAAACCCAAGCGGAACGCCGAUUGGAGUUCGGAGGAUCUUCACACUUUGGCUUGCGGCAGCCGGAGUACCGCAACCCCACCGGAAUCGAAAAGCAUUCAUCAAAGGGACGGUAUUUUUUUCCUUCCUCAAAGUUGCCCAAGAACGAGACAUACAAAAAAGCUCUAGUUUGGUGAACGACCGACGAAAAAGCACCAUUGACAGUGGAUCCUCAAGAAAAAGCUUUCGUUCAAUUUCGAUUUUGUGUGCGUAUGUAUUUGUGAAUGUGUUUUGGUAGCGUGCAGUGCUAACCAACCGAACGAUCGAAACGUUGCAAGCUCCGUUACCUUACCGCAUCCGGAGGGAGGAAAACUGUUCCAGGCUCAAGAAGAUCCUGCGGCCGUGGAAUUCCCGUACCGGGCUAGAGCAGGAUU